AUCAAAUUGAGAGUUUGAUCCUGGCUCAGGACGAACGCUGGCGGCAUGCCUAAUACAUGCAAGUCGAACG
rnacentral:rRNA from 1 species